rnacentral:rRNA from 1 species
GACGAACGCUGGCGGCGUGCUUAACACAUGCAAGUCGAACGAAGAGCGAUGGAGGCUUGCUUCUAUCAAUCUUAGUGGCGAACGGGUGUGUAACGCGUAAUCAACCUGCCCUUCAGAGGGGGACAACAGUUGGAAACGACUGCUAAUACCGCAUACGAUCUAAUCGCGGCAUCGAGGAUAGAUGCAAGGUGGCCUCUACAUGUAAGCUAUCACUGAAGGAGGGGAUUGGGUCUGAUUAGCUAGUGGGAGGGGUAGGGGCCAACCAAGGCGAUGAUCAGUAGCCGGCUGGAGGGGAGAACCGGCCCAAUGGGACCGGGGACACGCCCAAGCCCCUUCGGGAAGGAAGAAGUGGGGAACUUUCGCAAUGGACGAAAGGCUGACGGAGCAACGCCGCGUGAGCGAUGACAGCCUUCGGGUUGGAAAGCCCUGUUAAUCGGGACGAAAGGCCUUCUUGCGAAUAGUGAGAAGGAUUGACGGUACCGGAAUAGAAAGCCACGGCUAACUACGUG